GACGAACGCUGGCGGCGUGCUUAACACAUGCAAGUCGAACGGUAAGGCCCUUCGGGGUACACGAGUGGCGAACGGGUGAGUAACACGUGGGUGAUCUGCCCUGCACUUCGGGAUAAGCCUGGGAAACUGGGUCUAAUACCGGAUAGGACCAUGGACUUCACGGUUUGUGGUGGAAAGCUUUUGCGGUGUGGGAUGGGCCCGCGGCCUAUCAGCUUGUUGGUGGGGUAAUGGCCUACCAAGGCGACGACGGGUAGCCGGCCUGAGAGGGUGUCCGGCCACACUGGGACUGAGAUACGGCCCAGACUCCUACGGGAGGCAGCAGUGGGGAAUAUUGCACAAUGGGCGCAAGCCUGAUGCAGCGACGCCGCGUGAGGGAUGACGGCCUUCGGGUUGUAACCUCUUUCAAUUAGGGACGAAGCGCAAGUGACGGUACCUA
rnacentral:rRNA from 1 species